AGUAAAAGUCGUAACAAGGUCUCCGUUGGUGAACCAGCGGAGGGAUCAUUGCUGGAACUGUGUCCGCAAGGACACAACCCCAGAUACCCUUUGUGAACUUAUUCUUAUAUCGUUGCCUCGGCGCCUGAGCUGGGGGCUUCUUUCCAAGGAGCUCUCCCAUGGUCUCUCGGGACGAUGGAGCAAGCCCGCCGGCGGCCCUUCUAAACUCUUGUUUUUAUUACGUAUCUCUUCUGAGUUAUUCAAAACAAAAUGAAUCAAAACUUUCAACAACGGAUCUCUUGGUUCUGGCAUCGAUGAAGAACGCAGCGAAAUGCGAUAAGUAAUGUGAAUUGCAGAAUUCAGUGAAUCAUCGAAUCUUUGAACGCACAUUGCGCCCGCUGGAAUUCCAGCGGGCAUGCCUGUUCGAGCGUCAUUUCACCCCUCAAGCCUUGCUUGGUGUUGGAGCACUACCGUUUGUAUAAAGCGGUAGGCUCUGAAAUUCAGUGGCGGGCUCGCUAAGACUCUGAGCGUAGUAGUUUAUCACCUCGCUUUGGAAGGAUUAGCGGUGCUCUUGCCGUAAAACCCCCCAACUUCUGAAUUUUGACCUCGGAUCAGGUAGGAAUACCCGCUGAACUUAAGCAUAUCAAUAAGCGGAGGAAAAGAAACCAACAGGGAUUGCCCCAGUAACG
rnacentral:rRNA from 1 species